UCCGAAUUUCCGGCAAUGGAUUGACUUGACACUGACAGUUGAUUCUACAAAUCACUACAAAUCUUCGCUAUCUAUUUUCGCUUUAUAUUAUAUUGUGUAAUUGUAAUUAUGCUACAUUUAGAUCUAAUGUUCGCUAAUAUCAUAUGAAGCGUACUCUAAACAUGGGGUUGUUGGGGGCGCGUGAGGGGUGUUCUGCCGCGUGCUCGCUGCCGGCGCAGAGAGCUGGCGGGCACACGCGUGCGAGUGGCGCUCGUGCGAGUGCCGCGCCGAGCUGUGUCGCACGGAGCACGAGUGACGAAGCAGACCAUUCUACUGGAGGACUGGAUCAGGUCGACGUACUUAGUUUCGGCGCGGAGACAGUCUAACGCCCUGACACGCAGCAUGCAUGUCACAUACAGCGACCUACCGCUGCCGGGAGACACUCCGCGACAAUGAAGAACCCUAAUGGCCCAUUAGAUGAACAUUACAUUAAUUUUAUAAGAAAGACAUGUGUUGCUGGCUUGCUGGGGUGUUUGUUGCGCCACUUCUUCCCGGUCACUCAGAGACAGAGACAGCCCCAAAACGCCCACCCUUCCACCACUUACUGGUGAAAUGAUAUAAUACUGUUGUUUGUCAAUAGAUGGCGCUGUUUGCAAUAUUCAAUUUGUUUAUAAAUUCGCGCUCUCUAGCUAGAUGGUCAAUAUAAAUGCGCAUAUAUUGUGUUGUAAAAAUGUUAUAGUUUUAGCGUUAAUUGUGCUCAAUAUUGUAAUAUUACGAAAUUAUGAUGUGCAGUCUAGGGAACGUUUACAAUGUGUGCCUAUAAAGAUAAAGAUAGAUUUAUUUGCAAAAACGUGUAUAAUGUCCCAGCUUUUAAUUAUUGUAACAAUGAUUCCUAGUAUUGUAAUAUAUGUGGAUGUACUUAAUUUAUUUGUUUUCACCAGAUUCCAGUCUGCUUUGUAUAAUUAUCUUUUACAAAUAAAACCUAACUGUAAGUAGGAUUGUAGGUUUUAAAAUAAAAGUUCUAAAUGCCAGUAAUAUUUUUAUACAUAUAUAUUUUGAUAUAUAUUUUUUAUACAUAUAUAUAUUUAGGUUAAGUUAGUGAUUAUUGUAUUUUAGUUAUAGCUUCUUUUCUUUCUACGCACUCUAUCUGCAUCUCUUUCUAUUCUAACUCUCUCAUAAUGGGCCAGCUGGAAGAGAUUUCUUAUGAAAUAAGCUGUGCCUUUGUACUAUCUUUUCUAUUUUGUCUGUAUUCUGUGUGUGUACAUAAACUGUUAAAUAAAUAAUAUAUAGUUUUAUUUCACAA
rnacentral:lncRNA from 1 species